rnacentral:rRNA from 1 species
GACGAACGCUGGCGGCGUGCCUAAUACAUGCAAGUCGAACGCAGGGGGGACGGGUGAGUAACACGUGGGUAACCUCCCAUCAGAGGGGAUAACACUUGGAAACAGGUGCUAAACGGAAACUGAUGGAGGGACCAGCGGUGCAUUAGCUAGUGGGGGAGGUAACGGCUCACCAAGGCCACGAUGCAUAGCCGACCUGAGAGGGUGUGCGGCCACACUGGGACGGAGACACGUCCCAGACUCCUACGGGAGGAAGCAGUAGGGAAUCUUCGGAAAGGGACGAAAGUCUGACCGAGCAACGCCUCUGGAGUGAAGAAGGUUUUCGGAUCUUAAACCUCUGUUGUUAGAGAAGCGGUAUCUAACCAGAAAGCCACGGCUAACUACGUGCCAGCAGCCGCGGUAAUAC